rnacentral:lncRNA from 1 species
UCCCUUGUUGUUUUCUUAUUGGCCACUGCAGUUGUUUUGGAGAUAACAUGGUUCUCUUCGGGUCACCAAAAGAUCCAUUUUCUUGAUCAUUUAAACACUUUCUUUAUUUCUCUCUCUUUACCUCACGAUCCAAAAACCUCAUUGUUUAUUCAGAAAAACUCAUCCCAAAUCCAUAUUUAUCCAAAAAAAAUCACAUCUUCAAAUUGUUCUUCACCACAAAUCCAUCGAAUACCUAGAUUUCUUA